AUUGAACGCUGGCGGCAGGCCUAACACAUGCAAGUCGAGCGGAUGAAGGGAGCUUGCUCCUGGAUUCAGCGGCGGACGGGUGAGUAAUGCCUAGGAAUCUGCCUGGUAGUGGGGGAUAACGUCCGGAAACGGGCGCUAAUACCGCAUACGUCCUGAGGGAGAAAGUGGGGGAUCUUCGGACCUCACGCUAUCAGAUGAGCCUAGGUCGGAUUAGCUAGUUGGUGGGGUAAAGGCCUACCAAGGCGACGAUCCGUAACUGGUCUGAGGGGAUGAUCAGUCACACUGGAACUGAGACACGGUCCAGACUCCUACGGGGGGCAGCAGUGGGGAAUAUUGGACAAUGGGCGAAAGCCUGAUCCAGCCAUGCCGCGUGUGUGAAGAAGGUCUUCGGAUUGUAAAGCACUUUAAGUUGGGAGGAAGGGCAGUAAGUUAAUACCUUGCUGUUUUGACGUUACCAACAGAAUAAGCACCGGCUAACUUCGUG
rnacentral:rRNA from 1 species